UGGCUAUGAGGAUACAAAUGUAAUAUGACAUGGCUAAUGCUAUGACAAAUUCUGAUUCAUUAUACGCUAUUCUGAGCCAUUU